rnacentral:lncRNA from 1 species
AUGAAUGGUCAUUCGGGUGUUGCGCAAUUUAUUGAAUGACGUCAUUGUUUGGAAUGUGACGUCACAAACCUCGAAUUUUCAUAUUUCUGACACACGAAAUGGAACUAUAAAAAGAACUCAAUGAAAUACCAUACAAAACACAAAAAAAUACAAUAAACAGAAUAUUUUUGAAACAACAGCACGCAAUUUGUAAGGUAACCCAGGUGCUUCAGAUGAGUAAUUGAGCAGUUCUUUUAAAGCUUUUAAAACAAGACAAAAGUAGAACUGAAGGUAACCCAGGUGCUAGGGAUCAGAAAGCAGUUCAUAUGUACUCUCCUGUUGAAAUAUAU